GUUCAAUCUACAAAUAUAACAAGGGACCAGUGGCUGCCCAGGUACUAGAGCGCUGGCCAAACCGAUAUGGAUGAAGCCUAUUGAAGAGCUGUUAAAGGAACACUAAACUCUGAAUUGAAGUGAAUUGAUAUUUUCACUGCAAAAAUAGGCAAACUGGGUUUCAGAAUUUGGCCAAAUCUGCUAUGUUUGACUAAAUUUCAAAGUUUGUAUUGC